CGUGGUGCAGCUCAGUGGUAGAGUAUGUGCCUAGCAGACACAAGAUCCUGGGUUCAAUCCCCAGUGCCGCAG
rnacentral:tRNA from 1 species